rnacentral:tRNA from 1 species
GCGGGUAUGGCGGAACUGGCAGACGCGCUAGAUUCAGGUUCUAGUGAUCGCAAGGUCAUGCAGGUUCAAUUCCUGUUACCCGCACCA